AGCUUUGUUGGACAAUGAGGUGGCCAGGAAUGCUAUGCUGCUCGGGGCUUCCAGGCACUGGUUUCGUCUUUGGGGAACAGUUUCUCAAUAAAAGAAAUUGAACAAGUACAUUAAGACCUGUUCAGAAAGCAGCUAAAUGCCAGGUGUGAUGGCUUAUGCCUGUAAUACCAGCACUUUGUGAGGCUGAGGCAGGAGGAUCCCUUGAGGCCAGGAGUUCAAGACUAGCCUGCACAACAAAGUGAGACCUCAUCUACAAAAAAUAAAAAAAUUGGCUGGGCGUGGUGGCUCACAUCUGUAGUCCCAGCUACAUGGGAGGCUGAGGCAGGAGGAUUACUUGAGGUUAGGAGGUCGAGGCUGCAGUGAGCUCUGAUUGUGCCACGGCACUCCAGCCUGCGUGACAGAGUGAGACCUUGUCUCAGGGGAAAAAAAGAAAAAAAGAAGAAAGCAUCUCAACUAAAUGGAGACCUUUGGCUGUGUCCUUGUGCCCUCUGCCUUUGUGCGUGGGAAGUAGGUGUGGGUGGGCCUUCCAGGGGAUGCUGGUUUUGGGUCACCGUAGCCUGCAUGAUUUGGGGACGGCACUAGGCUGUGGCGGUCCAGCGGCAGUUUCCCCACACCAUUCAUCAUGGAUGAACAAUGUCUUGGGGAUGGUCCCGUGUCAGUGCAGACCUCAUUCUGUUUAAUGAGUCUGCAAUGGCUGCCGCCGCACCGCCGGGGGGCAAUGGCUGCUGCCGCACUGCUGGGCUCAGGUGCUGUUCAGAACGCCUCACGUGGGUUCAGUGACUGUGUAGGAGUGUCCGUAGCAAGUGUGCACCUCCUGUGGCCUUGCUUGUGUCGAUAACACCUACAUUGCUUUGUCUCUGUCACCAGCAAGGGUGCAACAGACGUUCUGUGAUGCGUCUUCAUGCACAUGCGUGAAUAUGUCUGUGUGAUCCAUUCUUAGAUGUGGAGUUGCUGGGCCAGAGUGUCCUGCGUUUGAAAUGGGUAGUUAGCGCCAACCUGUGUCUCCAUCUUGGGUGGUUUCCCAGGGACACAGGAAGCUGAGGGGGCAGCGCUGGGGGGAGCUGCCUAGCGCCUGCUGAAGCCGCACCCCUCCUAUCUUUGCAGGUCGGCUGGAUGAUGUGGAACUGGAUGGUGUCCCUUCUGGCCACAGGAGCGGCCAUGGUCUUGUACGAUGGCUCCCCCCUGGUGCCCACGCCCAAUGUGCUCUGGGACCUGGUUGACAGGAUAGGCAUCACUAUCCUGGUAACCGGGGCCAAGUGGCUGUCGGUGCUGGAAGAGAAGGCCAUGAAGCCGGUGGAAACCCACAGUCUCCAGAUGCUCCACACGAUCCUGUCCACUGGCUCCCCACUGAAAGCCCAGAGCUACGAGUAUGUCUACAGGUGCAUCAAGAGCAGUAUCCUCCUAGGCUCCAUCUCAGGAGGCACCGACAUCAUCUCCUGCUUCAUGGGCCACAAUUUUUCUCUUCCUGUGUAUAAAGGGGAGAUUCAGGCCCGGAACCUGGGCAUGGCCGUGGAAGCGUGGAACGAGGAAGGAAAGGCGGUCUGGGGAGAGAGCGGCGAGCUGGUGUGUACUAAGCCGAUCCCUUGCCAGCCCACACACUUCUGGAACGAUGAGAACGGCAACAAGUACAGGAAGGCGUAUUUCUCCAAAUUCCCAGGUAUCUGGGCUCAUGGCGACUACUGCAGAAUCAACCCCAAGACCGGAGGCAUCGUCAUGCUUGGCCGGAGUGAUGGCACACUCAACCCCAACGGGGUGCGGUUCGGCAGCUCGGAAAUCUAUAACAUUGG
rnacentral:sRNA from 1 species